GACGUAGGGCGCGAGCGUUGUCCGGAUUUAUUGGGCGUAAAGAGCUCGUAGGCGGCUUGUCGCGUCGACUGUGAAAACCCGAGGCUCAACCUCGGGCCUGCAGUCGAUACGGGCAGACUAGAGUAUGGCAGGGGAGACUGGAAUUCCUGGUGUAGCGGUGAAAUGCGCAGAUAUCAGGAGGAACACCGGUGGCGAAGGCGGGUCUCUGGGCCAUAACUGACGCUGAGGAGCGAAAGCGUGGGGAGCGAACAGG
rnacentral:rRNA from 1 species